rnacentral:rRNA from 1 species
AGGACGAACGCUGGCGGCGUGCUUAACACAUGCAAGUCGAACGGUAAGGCCCCUUCGGGGGUACACGAGUGGCGAACGGGUGAGUAACACGUGAGCAACCUGCCCUUGACUCUGGAAUAACAGUUGGAAACAGCUGCUAAUACCGGGUAUGACCUGUCACCGCAUGGUGGUGGGUGGAAAGUUCUGGCGGUCAGGGAUGGGCUCGCGGCCUAUCAGCUAGUUGGUGAGGUAAUGGCUCACCAAGGCUUCGACGGGUA